GACGAACGCUGGCGGCGUGCUUAACACAUGCCAGUCGAACGGAAAGGCCCUGCUUGCAGGGUACUCGAGUGGCGAACGGGUGAGUAACACGUGGGUGAUCUGCCCUGCACUUCGGGAUAAGCCUGGGAAACUGGGUCUAAUACCGGAUAGGAGCCAUUUUUAGUGUGAUGGUUGGAAAGUUUUUUCGGUGUAGGAUGAGCUCGCGGCCUAUCAGCUUGUUGGUGGGGUAAUGGCCUGCCAAGGCGGCGACGGGUAGCCGGCCUGAGAGGGUGGACGGCCACAUUGGGACUGAGAUACGGCCCAGACUCCUACGGGAGGCAGCAGUGGGGAAUAUUGCACAAUGGGCGCAAGCCUGAUGCAGCGACGCCGCGUGGGGGAUGACGGCCUUCGGGUUGUAAACUCCUUUCGCUAGGGACGAAGCUUUUUGUGACGGUACCUAGAUAAGAAGCACCGGCUAACUACGUG
rnacentral:rRNA from 1 species